GCCAGCAGCCAUAUCACUCUGCAACUCAUAGCUGGCAGCCCCACUGAAGCUCAGCAGGUGUGAGCCUGGCCAGCACCUGGAUGGGAGACCUCCUGGGGAAAACUAAGGUUGCUGCUGGAA
rnacentral:rRNA from 1 species